AUUUCACAAUGUGACAGACGAAGGACACGUAACCCAAACCGAUAACUUAUUUUGAAAAGGCACUUGGAUCCGUACAGAAGGGUGUCGGUAGCCCAGGUGUUCAUGACCUGCUCGAUGUUCGGUCGACCUGCUUUCCUUCACGCGCGUGAUAGUUUUGCUGAUUAAGCGGUUUGCUUAAAUAAAUAAAUAAAAAAUAUCACGAAACGUGAUUGAAUUCACUUUGGGCUUGAAGUUUGCACUUACCGCAUAGGAGUAAAGUCUUGGUCUUUGUCGUUACUUUCUGUUCCUUAGUUCCGGAAGUCAAAAGCUGAACUCUUCCUUUAGAUGUUUAACUUGUUUGACUUGUAAUGCGUUGAACUUUCCCCCACAAUCGCGCCCGCAGUGGCCGGUACGUUGACUUUCUCUGCCCGAAAGCUCAGAUUAACGACGUAACACACCGAAAGUCCAAUUUUUCCUCCAGUUCUGUCGGUAUUUUGGGACGAGUGCUGCGCUCCCUGGUCUUUCCGUGUGUUACCUGCGGCUACAGUACUGUUAGAAUGAUUGAGCUGGAGGCAGGGAGGCGGGAGAACACCCUGCGGUUGAGAGGACGGAAGACCCGAACCCAGUGCGUCUCUGCCCGGCCUGCUCUGCUCUCUGCGGCCACACAUUCAUCCACAGCAUGUGUCCCUACUCUUGGCACAGGAGUAUAGUUUACGCGCGCGAAGUUGUGUUUCACAAAAACUCAAGUUCGUAAUUAAAAUAAUUCUUAAACCA